AUGGCAUUGGUGCAACUGGUAGCAUGGCGGUCUCCAAAACCGUCGAUGUUGGUUCGAGUCCAACAUGCUGUGC
rnacentral:tRNA from 1 species